CACGUAGGGCGCGAGCGUUGUCCGGAAUUAUUGGGCGUAAAGAGCUCGUAGGCGGCCUGUUGCGUCCGCUGUGAAAGCCCGGGGCUUAACCCCGGGUCGGCAGUGGAUACGGGCAGGCUAGAGGUAGGUAGGGGAGAAUGGAAUUCCCGGUGUAGCGGUGAAAUGCGCAGAUAUCGGGAGGAACACCGGUGGCGAAGGCGGUUCUCUGGGCCUGUACUGACGCUGGAGGCAGACGAAGCGUGGGGAGCGAACAGG
rnacentral:rRNA from 1 species